ACACUGUCGAUCAAGUUAAACACAUAAAUUUGGAAGCGAUCUCAUUCUUUUAGGUCGCCGUUGCCAUUUCUCGAUUCAACCAGUCAGGCUGCAUGGAUGGUGCUUGCUUCCAUCGACUUCCAUGUUGGCUGAUUCCAUACGUGUUGUGAAGAAAACGUUAUUUGGCUCAAAUGAACGAUUCAUAGGCCUGAAAGAUCGAUCGCGGAGAUCGUACGGCUACUAAACUGAACCUGAUUCAAUGUACUCAAUGAUUCCCAGGGAAUUUUGUUUUGAACUCGUCUUUCAUCGUGGACUGCCCUCAAAAGUGACGGAUAUGUACACACUCGACCCACCAAGUGCAAGUGCAGUGCAUGCAUACGUGCUUGCAUCCAC